CCGGCGGCGGGAGUGGCUCCGGGCGCGCUGCGGCAAGGCCGGGCCAGCUCCGGGAGCCGCUGCCCCUGGGGAACCUUCCCCUGCCCCGCCCGGAGCAACAGGGCCCGGGCGGCCGCCAUGGACUCCGGCAGCGAGACCCACGAGCUCAACGGCACGGCGGAGGGCGCGGACUCGGCGGCCGAGGAGCAGCGCAGAAGGUGGCAGUGGUUCCAAAGGAACAGACCCAUCAACAUCAACCACUAUGCCAACAAGAAGAGCGCGGCCGAGAGCAUGCUGGACAUCGCCCUGCUGAUGGCCAACGCCUCCCAGCUCAAAGCUGUCAUGGAGCAAGGGCCCUCCUUUUCCUUCUACGUCCCGCUGAUCAUUCUCAUCAGUCUGUCGCUCACCCUGCAAGUCCUGGUGGGAGUGCUCUUGAUAUUCCUUGUAAAAUAUGACCUUAACAACCCUGCAAAACAUGGAAAGCUGAAUUUCCUCAACAACCUUGCAACUGGACUAGUAUUCAUUAUAGUAGUUGUGAAUAUUUUUAUCACUGCCUUUGGAGUGCAGAAACCAGUUGCUGAGCCAGCAUCAAGACAGUAAGGACCAGUUCUUGCAGAUACCUGAGCUCACUUCCCAUUAGUGCAAAAGCAGAAGCUGCUGGGAACUGAGACCUGGAGCAUCCAUUUUAGAUGCCAUUUGCAGUUGAGCCAGCUACGCUGGACACAGUGGGGAAAGAAAAAUAAUUUGAAGAAGCUGGACACACCAAGCAGCUUUCUCAAGCUUCCAACACACCUGUAUACCUGAAAUUUUCCCGUGUGUUAAUAUUUAAAUUGUCUGGCAUCUAAGAGAAGGUUAGCUUUGCCCUAAGGAUGCUGUUUUUCUGGAAUAUUGGCAUUUCAAUUUCUGAAGAAACUUUUUUAUUUUUUCAGAGAAGUGACAUAAAUUCAUGAAACAAGGAAAUAGCAUCUGGUAGCAUUUCACAGGACUUUUCUUUUUACAUGCCUUUGGUUUUUGUGGCAAUUUGUCAUUUCAUGAUGGUAAGAAAUGUCAGGCCUUUGAUUCUGGUGUGGUCACAUUGUCCUUCAUUUCACAGCUUGGCACCAAGCCAUGCACUCUGUAGCCCAGCAGGGCUCUGGUUUGCAGUGUGUAAAGGUAGCUCUGCUUUUGCACAGCUUUUUGUUUUGCUUUCUUUUCCACUCUAGCUAAAGGAAAGAUGAGACAAAAAGAAAUAAGCAGCAUUCUUUUGCCCAGUUUUGUUCACAGGUAAUCAUUUGAAUUGUUUCUUCUGGACACACUUAAAAUUUCCUGCCCUUCAUGCACAGACACAAAUCACCUAAUUGUUAAUGGUUUCUUACCAUGCAUUGCUAUUCUGUGUAUUCUGUCCAUUAUAUGUAUUUAUUUGAAUCAUAGAGUAGUUUGCAUUCAAGGGACCUUUGAAGCUCAUCCAGUGCCCCCCCUGCCAUGGCAGGGACACCUCCCACCGUCCCAGGUGCUCCAGCCCUGCCCAGCCUGGCCUUGGGCACUGCCAGGGAUCCAGGGGCAGCCACAGCUGCUCUGGGCACUCAGCACCUUCAUUGUAAAAGGUUCUUUCUUAUAUCAGAUUUCUGGAAACUCUGUUACAAGUGCCACCUUUUCUAGGCUCUACUGGUAAACUGGAAGAUCCAGGGUGAACUUUACCUGUUAAACUGGAACCAAGUGCCUGUCAGCAGCAACUCAAAUGGCAAAAUGAACUGAGUUUUUCUAUCUAGUUUCCUCUCUCUCCUUCCCAUCAUUGAUUGCUGCAGUUUUGUUCCUUUUAUGAGUUUAUGGCUAAAAGCAAAAUAAAAUUUUAAAUUUUUAUUUUUAAAUAUAUAUAUAGAGUUAUAAGUAUCUUCUAGUCUCUUACCUGCUGGCUCAGGGACCUACACUUUUUCUAAAUACACUAUUGCUAAUAAUAGUGUAGGUUACAAUAAUUUCUUCAACAAAAACAUUUUAGUAAUUUUAUUUCCAAAGUAUCGUACCUACAAUCAGAAAAAUCUAAGUUUUCUAGAUUGCACUUAUAUGUAAAUGUAAGAUGUAGAUUUGUAUGAAUCAAUUUUCUCGGUGUCAAUUUUCAAAAGCUCCUUUGUACAUAAGAAUAGAAGAUUGACUUCAUGUGUCUCAUCUCAUUUACAGGUUUUGUUACUGACCUUUCUCUUUGGUUAUGUCUCAAAGCCCACUGAUGUACCAGACUUUCAUGUAUAUGUUCUGUAAGGAUUACUAACAGAAAACAAAUCAAACUCAUGUGAUUAGUAAUGGAAUAGAUAUUCUUUUUUUAUUUUCUAAUUUGUCUUUUGUUGCUUCAUUUCCACUGUUACAUGUAUUUAACCAGUAUCCAGCAGGCAGUGGUUUAAUUUUGUGGGCUAUACUAAUGUAAACAUAACUCAGAACAAGUUCUGAAGGAGGCAUGCAGGACAACUUCCUUCCUGUAUUUAUUUUUCACAAACCACCAACUGCUGUAGGACUCUUCGUGCCCACUGUCUGUCUGUCAUGGCUGUCACACUUUUGAUGCUGCUUCCCAUGUCUUUUAUUGCGAUUAAGUAAGAUUUGCAAAACAUUCUUAGACAUGAAAUCUGUAUUUUAAGUCUUUGAAGCCUUCAGAGUUCAUGUAUUUUUUAGAAGACAGAAGCAUCUGCAAGUUGGUUUCAAGUAUAAAUAAUUUAAUCACAGGAUUAUUAUUCUUUUAAGUCAGGUGCUGCUUUAAAAUCCAGGCAAAUAUCUCAGAGGGGCAGCAAACAAAUACAUAUGUUUGACUCAUUCUCUGGUUUGCUGUGCUUUUUCAGAGGUUUUGGUUGGAGGCAAAUAUCUCUUUUAAAAAGAGGUCAUCAAUAAUGAAGGGAGAUGAAUUUUCCAGGCUCUGUGGGGAGCAGUUCGUGCCAGGUCAGCCGUUUGCUCCUGUUUCAUAAGCUCUGGGCAGGGUGAGCACUGCUCACGGUCCUGCUCAUUAGUCCCUUCAGCAUGCAGAAUAGCCUGGGCUGGGAUUUUCAGCGUAGCUCUACUUACUGAAGCAGGUGACAACAACCAUAUUUACUGGAACUCACUCUGAGUAUUUGUCUUCUAAACCAGGUCACUGCUGGAGCUCGUUCUGAUGCUGAGUCUUAUAUAAAACGGGCUGAAGCAGAAAACACCAUCCUGGUUUCUGUAUCCCCUCAACUGCCAUUCAGUUGUUUGAAUUAACAACUUCUUUACCCUCAGUGAGUUUGCACAUGACACUCAGGUUGCUGGGAGUAUUGAUGUGCUGUCAGGCAGGAAGGCUCCAUAGUUUUAUCUGGAGAGGCUGGAUCAUAGGCCAGUGAUUGAGGCUGAACAAGGCCAAGUGCCAGGUCCUGUCCUUGGGUCUCAACACCCCCAGCAGCUCCAGGCUGAGCCAGAGGGGCAGCAAAGGCCCUGGGGGUGCUGUGGCAGUGGCUGAACAGGAGCCCAGGUGGGCAGGAAGGACCAGGGCACCUUGGGCUGCUCAGCACUGGUGUGGCAGCAGGGCCAGGGCAGUGCCCAUCCCCUGUGCUGGACAUGCUGGGGUCAGUUUUGAGCCCCUGACAACAAGAAAGAGCUGCAGGGGCUGGAGUGUGUCCAGAGAGGGGAACGGAGCUGGGAAGGGGCUCAGCCUGGAGAAAAGGAGGCUUGGGAGGGACCUUCUCACUCUGCACAACUCCCUGACAGGAGGGAGCAGCUUAGGGCUUCUGGCUCUGCUCCCAGGAAACAAGGACAGGAGGAGACAGAGUGGCUUCAAGCUGUCCCUGGGGAGGGUCAGGUGGGUGCUGGGAGGAAUUGCACAACACCAGUUCCUGGAGCAGGUGGUGUUUCUGAUAGGCCCAAGAGAAGCUGAGCCCAGGUACAUUUCUCAGGUCGUGGUGCAACUUGAAAAGGGUCUGGGGGAGGCACCACCAGCAGGACCCCACCAGCCAGGGCAUGAGCAUCUGCUGGGGGAGCCCAUUACUGUUCACAGGUGAUCAACAAGGCCGAACCAGAGCCAGGAGCUGAGACGUCCCUAGAGGAGGAAGUAAACUGAAAUAAGUGAGAGAAGGUACUCCAGGAAGAGAUAAAUAACAACAUGGUCAUAGCAGGCCUUAGGGCAGAGUUUCCAUCAGAGGCUGGGUGGCACCCAGGUGCUGCAGCAUGACAUGUCAGCUGUACGUGGAGUUUCACUCCUCUCCCCAUCACUGAGUAUUCCCAGCCUGACACUGCAACACGUCCAGCAGCGGUGGGAGGGCAGAGGGGAAGGAGCAUGGGCAGGACUGACCAAACAACUUGAGCUGAUUGAUAGCAGACAGCUCUUGGGCAUGUCAGGAGGCAAACACACAUUGUUGGAGGUACAUCUACAGCAAAGAGACAGGAGAAAAUGUGGUAUAUAAAGGCUUCAGCUGUUUGCAGGAAUUUCUUCUUUUCACACUUGAUCAAAUUAUUUUCACUGUAUGAAAUCAUGAAGUCACAGAGUCACUGAAUCAUUUAGGAUGGAAGAGAUAUCAAAGAUCGAGUCCAACUUUUGUCUGACUCCACCUGUAAUGCCCCACCUCAUCCCGCUCCUGAUGUUCAUGCAGUCCCUGGCUGUGCCAGUCACUGACGUGUCAGUGCAGGAUCGGGUGUGAAACACAGGAUACAAUCUUUUCAAAAUAAUAGCUGACCAAUAAUUAUCCAACUUCCUAAAAGGGUGGUGACAAAACAUAACCUGCCCUCCUAUUGGAUAUUAUGGGUAAUUUUGAAUUCACUUUUCUCCUCCUCCACAGUCUGUUGAAGAUUUUCAUGGUUCAUUUUAUCCCUUUGGGUUCUCAUAAUGAGAACUAUUUACUAACCUGGCUGCCUCCCCAAGAAGAAUGCCACAGCUACAAGUCAGGAACAGAGACUUAUCAAUAGUUCCUCAUCAGGCAAGUCAGGCUUUGUCAGAAAUGGAGAUGGCAAAAACUCCUUUUUCGUUCAGCCUCCUUUCUGAUGUUUUCCAUUCCUCUUUUUCCAGUCUUCCAGCCUAGAAGUUGUCCCACCCCCUUUUUACAUGGUACAAGUUUUAACAAGUUGAGAGGUGAGUGUAAAUAUGGUGCCAUGCUAGGAAGCACCACACCAAGAUUACUGAAACAUUGCAAAACAUUUUCACUGGUACCAAAAAUAUUUGAGAGUAAAUCAGCUUCAUCACCACCCAACAUUACCACAGAUUUCUGGCGUGAAGGAUGAAAAUAAUCUAAACUCUUGGGAAGGCCUAAUGUUUCAGAUUUGUUUUGGACUUGUGGAAGAUAUGGAGGGAGACAGCUAUGUCUCCUGAAAUAGGAAUCAGUUUUUUCUGUGCCAGAAAACAUGAUUCACCAGGCAUGCCAGGGAGAGCAUUGCUCAGGAAAGAGAGCCCUCAGGCCUCUCCAUCCCUUGUGGGGUUUCAAAUCCUGGCAACACGACUUGGGAACAUGACUGAACUUCACAAACUGUAUGAAGUGCACUAACUGGGGAACACUGGGAGCGAGCCACAAUGUGCCUGUGUGGGUCACUGUUCUCCUUCAUACUCCAUAAAAAUUCUUUCUUCUCCAUGCUAGUAGCAAAACAGGUUUGGAAGCCCCACAUCCCAGCUGCACUGGUAGGAUGCCUCACAGCCUCUUGAAGGGACCCUGGUUAUCACACAGAAGUCCUGCAACCUUCAAACCUGGUACCACUGAUAAUAUUUUGCUUAACUUGCAUGUCCUCUUCACUUGCAGACACAGGGUGUGAUGGAAUGAUGUGUCUUGUUCAUCUUUCCAGAGCCAGGACCAGCCUAGACUCAUCCAGGGCUGAAUUUCAUCCAGCUCAGAAUGAGGAAUUUACUUCCUACUUGUUUUCUUAUUGACUCUGAGAUCACCAAGAUGAGUUUCACUUGUAUCUCACAGGACUCAUAGCUUGGGAAUACCCUGAAAGAUAUCAUUGCAAUUCUUUCAUAGAAACCUGCUAUCUAAAUGAUUACCAUUAAUAAUAAUUUUUAUUUUGUGCUAUAAUUUUACCUGUUAUACCUGGACUGUGAAGUUGGUUCCAAUCUGAUGUUAGUUAUCUCCCUACCUCCUGGCAGAACAGAGUUCUUGCAAAGCAGAGCAAAGUAGCCAGGUUAAAUUGGCCGUGAGCCAGCUCCAGAGGCACAGGUGAAACAAAACCCAGCUCUAUGCAACCAUUAUGGACCAGGAAUAUUUAAGAGGCACAGGCAUCAUCUUUCCAGCCUUCACUGGGAGCUUUUAAAAUGAAUUAGCUCAGAGCCACAGAGGAAAAACAACGUCGGCUCUCUCAGUUUCUGCUGCAGCGGAGCGUUCAGCCCCGGGCACCCCGCAGGACCCGCUGAGGCACCCAGCACAGAGCAGCCCUGGGCAGCACCCGCAGGGCUGGAGCACCAGGACACCCCCAGGGUAGCUAAAGCCAGGCCUAAAAAGGAAAAAAAAGCCACCUGAGUGUGAUGAAAUAUUUUGCUAUGGAGAAGGUUUGCUGUAAAUCGUGCUGUGAGAACACGUCUCGCCUGUGAUUUAUCCAAGCUUCACGUGCAGUGGCACUCUGGCUGCUGGCACCCAACUUCACCUUUUACCAGUUUGUGAAGCACAGAGUCUGAAAGGAUUUUGCUUUACUAGACACAAUGCUAUUAAAGAUUUAUCAACAGCA